UGUGACUAAAUCCAGCUAAUGGAUUGAAAAAAAGAAUAAGGUUUCAAAAAAAAAAAAAAGAAAGAUAUUCCUGCAUGUUUUCUAGUAACUAGGGUGGUGUCAUAUAAUAUUCUACUAAAAACUCAUGUGAACAGUCAUUUAACUCAGGACCACUAUGGUUAAUUAUAAAGUAAAAUAUUGACUAGCAUAAUGCAUUUUAGAUUAAAACUUUAUAACAAAUUUUUAUUAUCAAAUACUACUUGUUGAGUAUUUAUAAUGGGUCAGAUAAUGGAAUAAACAUUUUAAAUGUAAAAGAUUGUUAAUACAAAGAUGUAAAUGGAAGAGCUUGUGGGUGAGAAUAAAAAUGGUACAGUCCUCUCAGAAGGGCCAUUUGUUGGUGUUAUCAGCAUCCUAAAUGCAUGUGUCCUGUAAUGGCUCACCUCUUCCUUGUUGCUUUACUAGAACUACAUUCUAUCUAUGCUGUAGAAAUAUUACCAUAUACACAUAAGGCUGUAUAUGGUAAUUGUAAGAUUGUUUGUAAUAAAUAAAAAUCAAAAGCAACCUAAAUGUCAAUUAAUAGGAAAACUGUUAUGUAUGUUUUGGAAAUGCCAUACAUUUCCAAAAUAUCAUAUGGAUAUGAUAUGGAAUAUCAUAGAACGAUUUUGAAAUGUGAGACAGAUCUCUAAGGACUGAUGCGGAAAAAUGUUCAUGGCCAACUUUUUAAGUUUAAAAAACACACCCUUAUUUUUGAAGUGUAUGUAGAGCAUAUUCCUAUGUUUUUGUUAAAGAAACCCUCAUAUAUAUAUAUAUAUAUAUAUAUAUAUAUAUAUAUAUAUAUAUAUAAAAUUAAAUCUGUAAGUGCAUGUAAGUCAUGUAUUAUGAACUGAGUGAAUAUUUGUGUCUCUCCAAAAUUUAUAUGUUGAAGACCUAACCCCCUUUGGGAGAUAAUUAGGGUUAGAUGAGAUCAUGAGGAUGGAGUCCCUUGAUGGGAUUAGGGCCCCUAUAAGAAAAGGAUGAGACUAGAGCUCUCUCUUUCUAUCAUAUGAGGGAAGCAAGAAGGCAGCCUUCUGCAAGCCAGGAAGAGAGCCUUUAUCAGAAUUCAACCAUGCUGGCACCCUGCCUUCAGAACUGUGAGAAAUAAAUGAGUGUUGUUUAAGCUACCCAGUCUAUAGUUUUUUUUAAUAGCAACCUGAGCUGAUGAAGACAAUAUAGGAUUCCGGAUAGACUCUAUUGCAUGACUAUCUGUAAGAUGAGGUGGGAAGAGGGAGAAAUUCUCCCUUUUCCAGCAUACACUUCUUUAUUGUUUGAAUAUUUGUCAAGUACACAUUACUUUUAUAGUUGAAGAUUGGGAGGAGGGAAGGAGGGGAGGAAAGAAGGAAGGAAGAAAGGAAGAAAGAAAAAAGGAAAACUACCACUCUGAAGGCCCAAAGUCCACAUUGCUUUUUCAUGAAUUAUUCUGUUUACCAUUUGCAGAAUAUUAAGUUACCAAUUCUAAAGCCACUUCCUCCUUGGAUGACCUUAAGGGGAAAAAAGAAAAAAGAUACCCUCACAUCCUCAGCUCCUCCUAUAAAAUAAAUGGGCUUUACAGAAGAGACUAUUAUGUUUUGUGAAGUAUUUUCAAAUAUAUCGUUGAAGGAAACUUAAACAGAAUAUUAAGUUGGAAUUGGAUUGCAUUCCCCUUUGAAGGAUUAGGUUCUAAAGUCAUGCCUUUCCUGUCUACUAUGUCCUUUUUUGUUUUCUUCUACAUUAGAACCUAGUUGGAGUCCUCUAACGUGCUUAUUUUUCUAUUAAGCAGAGCCAUCAGAGUUCACCUGUUCCCUAUUGUCUCAAAGUGUUUGCCCUUCAUUUUUCCUUUAGACUAUAUAUAGACUGUUUAAUUUUGGUUUGGAUCUUUAGAGAAAUUCCAAGAGACACUCUUGGUUCUAAAACAUAUAGAGAGGCUGGGUCUUCAGAAGUUUUCUCGUGGUUUUGGUGAAGGCUAUAAAUGAAUGAUUUAUUUAUAGAUAAAUAAAUCCAUCCAAGAUGGUUUGCAGAUUGAUCACAUGAAAAGUUGAAAGAAAGAAAAACAAAUCACAAUAUCAGACCUUAACUAACUCAAGUCCACAAAUUGCAAUUUUGAGGGGAUCGUGUAUAAAAAUCUCUUUUAAGCAAAAUUGCUCAAGUAAUUCUUGUGUAUCUUACUGAAGACUAAUAGUUGGAAAUAAAUUAUCUGGUAUUGAUCACAAAAGCCCAUGAAUGAGACCACAAAGGCAAAUAUUUCUGACUUUCUGGUGAAGCUCAUAUUGGCAUGCAAGCUUUGUCCAUAAAAUGUGUCCCUUGCUUAUGAUAGGAUGUAGGGGUUAUGAGUAAGACAAAUGCCAGAUGUGGGGAAGGAUGUUCAAGUGUUGCAAUGGGAGAGAAAGUUUUGGCUUAAGAAAAUCUAUAGAGUACCCUUCUCUCAAACAGAGGUACCAAUAUUAUCUGUUCUCAUACUUUGGUGAGCAUCAUAAGACUAAUCACAUUUUAUAAAUUCUGUGAGUCAGAUGUGCCCCUUUCUUUGGGCUCUCAGAGAUCUCAGGCUGUUGCAGGGAUUUCUGUUAGUGGUUUUGAACAGCUCUUAAACAAAAAUCAGGUUCCCUGAUUCUAAGUAAUUUUUAUCUGUAAUGGAUUAUUAGAGCUACAAAGAAAUGCUCAACAAAACCUCCUAUCCUUAGGGAUUUACAAAUAGUGGAAGUGGUAUAAGAUGGUGAAUGUCAGAAAAAGAAAUUGUGGUUUAUUUAUUACAGUAAACCUCAAAUUCAUUUUCAGUUAUCAAAAAACUACAGAGGAAGAGUCUAUGUCAUAUAAACAGAUAUUUAUUUUUCUAUUUUAAAAAGUUGUUUUAGGGAAAAUUCCAAACAUACUCAAAAGUUGAGAGAAUAAUGCCAUGAAGUUGAGUACCUGUUACCCAACUUCAUUAAUUAACAACACUCUGUCAUUUGUUUCCAUUUUUGCCCAAUUUUUUUUUUUGGAGUAUUUUAAGGAAACCCCAACAUAAUAUUGCCUUACCCAUAAAUAUUUCACUGUAAAAAAGACAUUGAAAACAAAGAUUAACCAAAAAAUAUGACUGUAUAUACAUAACAAAGUUUCAUCUACUGACUUAUUAUUUGAAACCUCAAAUUGUUUUAUAUUUUAUAUGUUGCCUCUACUUUAAAGUGAACAACAUAAGAUUAUCAUAAGAACCAUUAAUAAAAUAAGCUCUAAGAUAAUUUGUAAACUAAUAGAUGUUAAAGCCUCUUAAAAAGCAAAAUUAUACUCUAUAAAUGUUUACUUUUUAAACAGUUGUUUGUUUUUAAAAAAAUAAUACAGUCAUGACACAACAUACACAUUUUUAAAUUACUGCUGUUCAUUAGCCAAGAAAUAGUCAAGAACAUUCAAAAUAAUUUUAAAUAUUUGCUUAUACUAUCCAUAAUCAAGAAAAAUAUAGAGUUAUCCAUAAGAUAAUUACAUUCAUUUAUUUUUUGUAAUUCUCUUACCCAGUAAAGUCCUCAAAAAUAUGAAAGGUGCUUAUUGGGUUUCAUCCACUGAAUUGUAGUUCUAAUUAAUAAUGCAUUAACAAUCAGUUCAGUACUGAAAACUCUGUUUCAAAGUAGAUGCUGACUAUUGUGUUUCUCAUUCAUCUACUCAUUUAGUUUAGAGAAGACUGACAGACUCAGCAACCCACUUGCAAAUAUUGGUACUUUCUUGUUUUUUCCCAUACUUAAAUGCAGUUCUCAAAUGCUGACUUGUUCCAAGUCUUCUAGCCUGCAGUGAUGACUUUGACCAUUUGGAUUUAAAUAAAGCUGCUUCAACUCCCAUAAUGAGACUAGGAAACCCUGUGAGAAAUUCCUUUUCCAUCUCAAUAUUUCAGGGGAUCUUUGUGGGAUUAAAAUUCAUUAUUAUGUCCUCUUGUUCUACUUCUCUGUGUCUACUGAGCUCCCAACUUUUGAGCAUUCUGUUAUUUUGCUGCCUACCAUUAUCCCAUACUGGAUACUGUCCAGAUCGUUUCACCUUCCAAAGGACCAUUCUCACAAGACUGCAUGAUCAGGCAACUUUUACUGGUGUUUUGGGAGUAAUUCAAGAAUAAUUAUUUUAUAACUGCCAUGAUUGCCUUUGGCACAUCCCUGUCCCCUGCACACCUACAGAUGGCCAGCUCCACCCACAGAUGGCCGUGGCAUUCAGUUACUUUGCUGGGCAUUUCCCUCUCCCUCUCUUGCCUAGAUCCUUUAUUGUGUCCCUGCCCUUGAAACUUAAAUUUCUUACCUUCUCUGCUGAAUCAUUCAGUUCUCUUUGACUAACUUAUCUGAUUGAGAGACUGUGCCUGAGUGCUUCACCUUUCGUAUUUGGAAAACAGUUUUUCUAAACCCACAGCAUAUCAUAGGGAGAAAAACAUGUCAUUCUCCCAGGAGAUGGGGACUCUAGUCAGGUGCAGCUCAGGUGCACCUUUACAUGGCAGUUUUUGCCUUCUUGGCUACAGAUAUUCUCAUCUUUAUUUUUCUCUCUUCUCUCUCCCUUCUUUAUUCAUCUCUCUCUUUAUCAAACCACUCAUCCAUAUACACAGUAUAACUAUAUGUUUGAGUAAGGGCAAACUCACAUACACAUAACCCUUCCUUGACUGUUCCUGAGCUCGCUUCUCCAGAAAGCACAUAGGAAAAUAUGGUGUGGGCAAGUUAGGCUUCCUUGUAAAUGUGGGAAAAUUCUUGUAUGGGUUGCUUCCCACAUAUGCCCCUCUGGAUGAUAAAGUAGAUGGAUUCUAUGAAAAUUGUUUCAUUGCUGGGAAGCCAGUAAAUUUUCAGAAGCCUUCACAGGAUGAUAGAGUCUGGAGACAGAGCAACAGAGAGAACCCAAAACAGACAUCCCUUUACAACAUGACCACUUUACUUUUGCUUUGUUUACAUAUUCUAAGACUGUAAGCUUAUGUUUUUGUUAGCGAGCCAACUUAAUUUUUUAAUAGUCUUAUCAAAAUUUGAUUCUACAGCAUCCACUCAUUGGCUUUGGGUCUAUUCUCUGGAGUCUUACAAAAUAAGUUUAUUCAUUCUUUCAAAGAACAGCCUUUCAAAUAUUUGAAAACAAUUCUAAUUUCCCCAUAAAGUCAUCUCUUCUCAGGCUAAAUAUCUUUUGUUUCUUCAACAAUUCCUUCUAUUUUGUAUCUUCCAGACCCCUUACCUUCCCUAUUGUAUUACUUUGGAGUCAUUCCAUUUUGUCACUAUACACUCUCAAAAUGCCUUAUCUAGCAGAAUAACUUGUACAAAACAGAUGGAUAAAUGCCGAGAGAAUUUAAUUUAACCAAACAUCAUACUAUAUCCAGUGCUGGGUCCAUCUUUCAUCUGGACAUUACACUUUUAUUAAUACAACAUAAGAUUGCAUUAGCUUUAUUAUAAAUCACAUUGACUUAUAAUGUAAUAUCUCCUGACAUUUUUCUUAUAAUCUUACAUUCCUUCGUUUGCAUUUGGUUAUCUGAUUUCCUGAAUCUAAAUGCAAAAAUUUAAGUUUAUGCUUAUAUAUUUCAUUUUGUUGGCUUUAUCCCAUCUUUUCACCCUUUCAAAACCUCAGAAUUUCAAUCUCAUUAUCAAAAAUAUCAGCUUUUCCAACAUUAAUUGAGUCAUAUAUAAAUGCAUUGGGUUUAGGUUUACCUUUUGUCUCUAUCCAAGGGUUUGAUUGUUAAGGUAAAAGUUCAUUGCAGUUAUGGACUUGUUACUCUUUCUUUGCUUCUGGCUCUGGCUGGCAUUUUAGGACCACAUGCCUUUUGGGAAGAUUGCAGGAUAUGUAUCAGAUCUGAUCAUACACAAGCAUCGUCAGCCACCAUGUGGCAUCCGUGGAGUUGUCCUCCCAGCUUCCCACCUCUGUGUGUCUUUUAAGCAUCCACAUACACAGAUUCUCACUUCUUCUGUCACUCAGUACCCCGAAGAGCACGGCCACUGCCAUCUGUUUCCAGGCACCAGGCCUGGAUGUUGCUGUGGUUGAAGCCUAUAAUUUUCCCAUGCUGUGGUCUCUCCCAGGCUCUCCUGCUACUGCUAUUUCCCUGAAUCACCCAGGGUGCCAAAGCUCUGAGUGUUCAGCAGCAAAGUAGAGGGAGAAUAUCGGCUUCUAAUUUGAGUGUUUUGUGUACCCUCUCAUUUGACAAUAUUUUUGUAAAAAUUGCUUGUAUUAGUUUUUGUUUUUCAUUGUGAUAAUGCUGUCCCACAGACAAUACCAACAUAUGUGUGUUUUACAAAAAUCAGCAUUUAAUUUUGACGAUGGAUUUAUGGAUUGGCUAUGGCUCUGCUGGACUCGGGUGGAUGGACUGAGCUUGUAGGCUGCAGGUUGCAUUCAGAUUAAUCCAUAAAUCAUCUACUUCGGCUUCAACAGUUACUUGGGGAGCACCUGUGGGCAUCUUUCCUCAACGCCCGGACUACAAAUCUCUAACACGGUCCUUACAUAAGAGUCCUCAACUACAGUGAGAGGGGCCAGAGCUGAGACUGGGCAUCUUGGGAUCUGUUGUGGAAUGGACACUGGCUUUAGGGGCUGCUUUCUGGCUUUAAAAAUAUUGCACUGGAAUAGAACCAAGGAUCAAAUAUCUGGGACAUGAUAUCUUGAGUAAAACAGGAUCAAGUCUUUGAGAAGAAUGUCUCUGCACAGAUGUAAAUCAAUGUCAAACAAGAUCAUAGCAACUGGAGCAUCAGGCAAGCUGGGAACCUAAUACCACCCAAAGAUAAUCUCAGAGUCACUGGGGCAGCUGAGAGCUAAGGAAAUGUCUGCUACAGAGACAAACUGAAGUUUGUGUAUAUCGUGCUGAUUCAGAAGAGAAUGAAGGCAUUUGUCAAGAGAUAAUGUCAGACUAAUCAGACAUGUUCCAAUCGAUUAAUGCAUUUGGAGGAUUUCCAAAUAUUUGCUGAUCUAAGGACGGUGAGGUAUAUGAUGGGAAACAAAUCUGAGAAAAGAAGGAUGGUAGAUGCUUUCCCAUUGUGACCUGUGAUCAUUUUGGUAAGAACACUUUACUCAAUUAAGAGGCGAUCAAGUGAUUCCAGGCCUGCUGCUAAAUAAUUAUGAGAUGAUAUUUGGAAAUAUGUAUUUCUCCUUUACCUCCUGAAGCCACAGGUAUGUGCCUGAGGUUCUCAACAAAUGGCUGAUUAUCUCUCAGAAUAUUCAGUUGUCUGGUAGCUGGCACUAAUAGCUCAGAAUAAGCUAUAUUUAACUUCAGGAUCCAUCUGGACUCUUGGCCACUAGUGGUAGGUAAUACUAGUUGCCGAAUUCAGUUUCUCUGAGCCUGUGAAAACUGCCUGAUUUUAUUUCAAAUUCAUUUUGCAUCCUGUGGGAUGGAUUUGAGAUCAGGGCAAAAUAUUCAACCUUAUUUUUGUUAAUCUUGCCCCAAAUAUGAUCCAGAUUAACCUUUCUUAACACAAAUUUGCAUUUUUUACAAAUAUCAUUUUUAGUGAAAUUAAAAUCUAUGAUUAUUAACGUUAAUAUUGUGCAAGUAGCAUUUGUAAUAUAAAGUUUUCAAAAAAGGAAGAUAAUUUUAUUUACUGGAGACUUAUUUUGCCAUUUUCAACUUGGAAGCCCAGGACUCAAACAAAAGUAUUGUUUGAAAACUGUUGGGGUUGAUUAUUACUUAUGCCGGAAGUUUCAAAAAAAAUUUUUAGAAAAAAAGAAAGCUGUCUUGUUCUAAUAAUUUGAAAUUUUAACAGUUAAAUUAUUGCUAAAUUUGCAUAAGAUUUGCUCUGUAAGACAAUACUUUUUAUAAUUGUUAACAUGUAGUUGUUUUACUUAUUUGUGCAUACUAGGUUAAUAUAUACAUAGUCAUAUUAAUAUAUGUUUGUAUGUAUACAUACUUAAAUAUAAAUUUUAUUUUUUAAAUGCACGAUUUAAGAUUUUGUCAUAAAUUGUUAUAAAUUGUUUUGUGGAGUUUAUGCAUUUUGUAAAUUUGAUGGUGGCAGAUGGUGUACAUGUGAGUUAAUUGAAUAGAUCUUUCAUAGUCUGGCACUUUUUAUGCUUUUAGAAUUUGGAGAAGUUAGUCUUUACUGAUGAAUAGAGAGCUAUCGUACUUUAGAAACUAUUGAGCAAACAUAAAAUUUUAAGAACAACUUAUUUUUAUCCUAUGGAUUUUCCUAUUAUAUUUAAACUUGCUCUUUUAGUUUGUUUUUAGAGCUCUCCUCAAGAAACAUACUCUUUGUUUUUAACGCUCAAUCCUUUUUUAUUCUUUGUAGAAACUAGUGGUCUCCUAUUAAGUAAAUAGAUGUGGGUCUCAUUAGAGGGAUCCAUUCUAAAACAGAAGAGGACAACACUCAGGGAGGGCUGCAAUGAGACAGAGAAUCCUGAGAUUGUUCCUCAUGUGCAGAUCUUCACCUGGGGCUGCAGAAGACUGUACAGCUAUAGACAAAAUAAUGAUAAGGUACAGAUGUCGUGGAAAGCCAGAACAUAGGAGUGAAUCCAUCCUACAGUCUGAAGGCGGAAACAAAGCCAUAAAUGGGGUUGGGGGAGAAACCCUGUGGUAAGAAUCUGUAGAGAUGAGGAAAAAAUUGUAGGAUUUAAGGUAGGUUAGGAACUGGCAGUUCAGAGCAAUGCCAGGGUAUUAGAAACUCACUCUCGUGUCAUCUAAGUUUCCCAAUAUAGGAUUGAGUGGACCUCAUCAUAUUAGCCACAUUCAAGGAAUAUAUGUAUGUUAUAGAAGUCAAUGGUUACAUUAAAAUAUUAAGUUUGAACACAAGUUCUAAUUUAUUUUUAUCAUUAUUUCUUAAUAGCAAUUAAUUCUUUGGGGCUUCAAUUACUGACUGUAUUCCAAACGGUUACCAACAGUUCACUUCUUUUAUUGCAGAACUUACACCAUUUCCAAAUAACCAAUGUAAAUUUUUACCUCGGAUAUUAUUUUGUUACCCGCAAACAACAAAUGUGAAUUUAGAUUUAUCAUCUUCGUCGGGGACUGAAUUUCCCCUGUAAUAUUGUUUUUUGUUGAUUUGUUUGUUUUGUAGUGGCAUCCCCUGCCCCUAUGUACCUAUGUUUGAUUUAUCUUUUAUUUCCUUCUUUUAUACUUAAACCUUAAGGUGGAUUGGAAAGUUGAUAUCAGUGACACAAAGUUUAGUUGAUUGGGUACUUUACAUUUCUACUUGACUUUGUACAUUUCUGAUUUAUAUGAACAACAAGCAACUCAGACUAAGCCUCCUUCAUUGCCCUAAGAGGUCUACUAUAUUUCUAGUGAUUUUACCUAGGGGAUCUAUACAUGUACUAACAGUAGAAAUUAGAGGUGCAACACUACUGGCCAGAAUAUAGCAACAUCCUAAGUACAUUAAUAAUGUGUAAAGUGCCCAGCAUGUAAGGCACAAAUAAAAAUAGGGAAUGUCAUUUUAUUAAAUUAUCAGAAGUUAUGGGUCACAUUCAAACAGAAAUAUUCUAAGAAAUUCAAUUCUAAGAAAUUCAACUUACUUUUAAUGUCAAUGUUUCUGAAAUUGGUAAACAUCAUUGACGUCAAAAAGCCUUCUAUGCAUGAAAUAAAUUAUACUUGUCAUUUCUGAGCUUAUGGUAACAUGGUCAAGAAUUAAAGGUAUAUUCAUCUGACUUCUGUUUCAUCAGGCUGCUAUUUGAGAAGGGUUAUUUGCCUUAGUACCAUCAGCAGUGGUUGAAUUUUAUAUUUGGUUCUGCAUUUGUCAUUUAAAAUGUCCACAAAAAGAUAACCCCCUUAAGGAGCAUUAGAACUAGAAGUUACUGUGAACCUAGACGAUCGCCUGUUUUUUGCCAUCUAGCAUAAUGAAGGUCGUAGUAUUGCCAAAGUUUUUCGAAUUCACUGUAGUUUUUUCAAAACUAGAUAAAAACUCUGACCAAUUUUUGAGUCCUGGGGGACUAUCACUUCAGCCAUAAACACAAACAAGUUAACUAGAAUUUAACGAAAUAGUAAAUGGAGAAAAAAAUUCUAGAAUUACCUGAUUUGUUUCUAAAUUAUACUGUUGCUCCUAAAAAUGUUAAGAAAUUAGGGUCGUGAGCACUGUUGGUCACUAUGAUGAUAUGCUUACCCACUGAUGGUCAAAAUUUAUCAGAAGAAUUUUUAGAUUUGGACUAUGUCAUGGCUUAGAUGCUGAUACUGAUGAAUAAAGUGACAUGCAAUUUUAUGGAUAAAUGAAUGUUACUGUUAAGUAGUUUUUAAAUAUGUACAUUUUAAUAUAAUGUAUUUCCUCAAAAUGCUAUUCUCAAUUUGAUGAUAUGCCUUGAAAAUCAAUACUGUUUUAGGAAGAAGGAAAUGUGGUAAAUUAAUGGUGUCAUUAGAAGAACGGAGGUUGCCAUAGAACCUCAUUUGCUUUACUCUUAGGAUGUAACUUUUAAAUUUAUUCUUAUUUGAAUUUUCUUAUCUUCCAUACUGAACAGGAAGCUUAUUGAAUGAACAAACCAUGAGUACAAUUAGCAUAUACCUAAAUUGAUUUGCAGUGAAAAGGUGCUUCAUAAAUUCUUGUUUGCCUGAAGAAAUUAGGAGGCAAAGGAGCAUCAAAACAAAAGGGAAAAUAAGAAUUAAAGUGAGAUGCUGUAUCAGAGGCCAAGUAAAGAUGCUGGUCUGCCUAAUCUGACUUUCUGACACUGAGAGGCAAACCUCCAAAAUUUCCACCUAUCUACAUACAUUCAUUCACUCACUCACCCAGUCUCUAUACAUUAGGAAGUCAUUGCUUUAUGUUAACCCUUGGUUUUGAAAAAGAAUGCAAAAUUAAAUGAAGAAUAAACUCUGUUUAAAAGGGAGGGUUUGUUUGACAGGCAUAUGUAUAAACACUGGAAAUUAUGAGAGUACAGAGGGUUUCCAAUUUUCCACAUACAGAAAGAGUACUAAAAAAUGGUGGUGUGUUCAGAGUAAUGGCAAACUUAAUUUAAUUUCAUGCCUUCAAGCAAUAUUACUUUAUUUAUUGAGAAUUUUAACACAAAGCAAUCAUUUGUAUAUCACGGAUACCCAGAAAGAAUAAAUAUUGUGGUUCUAAUUCCUACACUUUGAUUUAUUAGUCUUUAGUUUAUUUGAAUGUCAUGUCACAGAGUACAGCUAAUAAAAGCAUGAACAUUUGUCUUUGAGCAAGUUUGAUCUGAGGUGAGUAACAUUAAACAAUAGCCUAUUGACAAGCAAUUAAACACCACUUCUUUUCUUAGGAGUGUUUUGAAUUACAUUUGUUCUAACUAGUGGCAGCAUCUUUUGUGUUUAGAAUUCCAAUAUAAUCUUAGAUGAGAAGAAUCUUUUAAUUAGAUUUUCAAUAGAAUCGGCCAAGACCCACUGCUCACCAUCUUGACUCUUUGUCUUCAUUGAUUUGGACCAAAACAAAACAAAGAUAAAUAGCAAAAUUCAUUAUCAAUGUUUAUUUCAACUGUCUAUUGUCAUUUCCUCAGGGUAUACAACACAGUUUUCCGCAGACAGAAUGCUGUGUUUCUUACUUUUAGCUUUAGAGCUGUAUAUUCAACAAUUCUGUGUCAUGGAAGAACCUAGCUGAGGCAAAAAAAAGAAAAAGGUAAUUUUCUUCUUCCAUUUACACGUAAAAUGUUUAUUUGAAGAAUAAGAAAUAAGCAAAGAGACAGGAGAAGGAAAUUGUGUUUCUUUCAGCAAGUAAAAAGAAAGGCAAAACCCAAAAUAAAUAAUAUGUAAUUAUUUUUUAUCUGACUAUUUUUUGGCAUUUGUUUCUGCAUUUCUAAAUAAUGGAACUAUAAUACAUUUUCACUAUUGGUCAAUUUUAGGUAUCAUUUACUUACUACCUAUAAUAAAAGUUAAAAUUGUAGCUAUGAAAGGACCCCUUUAAUGCUAAAAAUAUCACAGGAAAUAUUUGCAUUACCUAAGUCAAUACGUAAGUCAGCCAGGAAGAACAUUUACAAGACAAAGUUGAUCAUGAUACUCUCUUGUAAGUGAAGAUGCUAUUAUUUUAUAACCUAGAUGUGAGGAUCUGAAAGUUGUUAAAUAAAGGCUCCAUAUGAGCUCUUGUACUCUGUAAAAUGUCCUCUUAAGUUAGCUUUAGCUAAACUAACAUACUGCCAGGGAACAGUGUUAAUGUGUUUAAUUACCAAGCUCUUUCCAAGAAAGCCUUGUCACUUGUUCACUGGUCUUAUUGCCACUUUCUGUCUUCACUCUACUUCUACCUUUCCACAAACACAUCAGUACAGAUAUUUGCAUGUUUUGCACUUCUCCACAGUUUGUACUAGUUUCUAGAAGAAAUUUUUUACUGUCAAUUAAGGCAAUGCUUUAUUCACAUGUGGCUGCCACUAGAGAAAUGUCUUAAAUUAACAAAGAAAUAAAUCCAUUAAAAAAAAUGUUUCUCUGUUGCCUGUGCCUUUUGUGAAACCCCAAUUCACAUGCUCACUAACUUUUAAAAUCAUAUAAAAUUUUAAGAGCAAAAGAAUUUUAUUACAGUGUGAUGCAGGGUUAACCGUUUUGAAAUGAUACUUAUACUGCCUAAAUUAUACCUGGUCAUCCAAGUAGAAACUAACAAUGAUUGGGUAAUAAACAGAUGGAAACCAGGUUGCUAAGGAAAAGGAACAGGAAAUGAACUCCCUAAUUAGAUAACAAAGGUUUUGUCUACAUAAUGCCAAAAUAACUAAUUUAAUAUUUUGAAUCAGUUAGAUUGGGUUUUAUCAUGUAAGCAAAACAGAGAACUGAUUCCCUGAUGCUUUCGUUCUAUCUUCAGUUGUUUGUGGCAUUAUAGAGACAACACUUACGUAUGUUUCAAGCUACUUUACCUUUGUAUUUCAGGCCACAUUUCCUAGGGAGACUGUCUAAGGGAAAAUGAUUUUCUCUUUAGUUAUGAGACAAAGCCUAUACCUACAAAUUAGUUUGAUCACUUUGGUUGAGUUUACUAGUAAAGAGCCCUCCUAAAUAGUUUACAUGAUAUGUGUCUACACGUGUGUAUCUGAUUUGCCAAAAUUGAAAUAUUUUGUACAUGGCAAAUACGUUCUUUAAAUGUGUAAGCAAAUAGGUUUAUUUUAGUCAACAAUUGAUGACAGGAUAGAAAAAUAACCAGAAAUGUGGAUCCAGCUCUUAUCAUAGAAAAUUUGUACUCCUGUAGAUUCCAUGACAUCCUCACCUCCUGGUUUAUCUUUGACCUUUCUUUUGGAAUUUCUAAGGGUAGGCAUUGAAGUCUUCCAUUAGUCCUUGAAAACUCAGUCAUUACUCCUUUAAGUAUUGUCUCCCCUUUAUUAUCUCUCUCUCUCUCUCCUUCUGGGACUCCGAUUAGUUACAUACUAGGCCUCCCGACAUGUUCUCCCAGUCUCUUAGCCUCUUUCUCAUAUUUUCUAUCUCCUUAUCCCUCUAUGCUACAUUCUGAUUAAUUUCCUCAGAUGUAUCUUCGAGGUAAUUAGUUUUUUUUUCAUCCAUAUUGGUUGAAUCUACCAUUAAAUCUAUUUAUUCAGGAUUAUUUAUAAUUUUUAGUUUUUAUUUUUAUCUAAUUAAUAAGUGUGAAUUAAAAAAUCAAAUGAUUCUACAAACUAUGCAAUUCUUAGAACCUCUCUCCUUUUAUUUCUUCAUCCUGAGAAAUAAUUUUUUUGUUCUUUUAUCUGAUUAUUUUGGCGUUUGUCUCAGCAUUUCUAAAUAAUAGGACUAUAAUACAUUUUUAUUAUUGGUCAGUUUUAGGUAUCAUUUACUGACUUCCUAUAAUAACAGUUAAAAUUUAGUUAUUAAAGUAUCAUUUUAAUGUGGAAACUCAUAAACUUCAGUUGUGGGCACUAUUCUGAAAUUAUUUAAAUGAUUACUUCCUCUCAAUUUUCUCUGUUCUCUCUUUUUAGAACUUCCAUCUGGAAGUUAUAUCUCCAGCAUUCAUUUUCUAAUACUUUUUACACUUAUUAUUUUUUGCUUUACUUUCUGGAACAUUUUCUUGACUCUAUCUUUUAGCACUUCUCCAAAGUUUUUCAUUACUGCUAUUAUAUUUUUAAUUACUGAGAUCUUUUUAUUCCCUUAAGUAUUCCUUUUUAUAGCACUGUGUUCUUACUUUAUGGUUUGCCAUCUUUCCUUUUUUCUUUAAGGAUACUAAUUGUUGUAUUAAAGAGUUUUAUUUCCAUGUAUCCUCUCUACAGCCUGCAAAGCACUUGUUCUUAUACGUUUUCUUUCAUCUCUAUAUCUCUUGUUAGAGGUUUCCCCUAGAUGUGUGCUCAUUUGUUGUUGUCUGCACAUGAUUAAGAGUAGUGGAAUCCUCUGAGGCCUGUUGACAAUAAGCCUCAUUGUAGGAUGAUGUGGCUGGAGCUUUCAUUUGGCAAACUUCUGAUAUCAGAAUCUUAGGUCUUUCAUUUGAGGCUGUCAUAUUUCCACAUUUGUCUGGAGAGUAAAGACCUAAUUGACAGCAUUCUUAGAGCCAGUUAGGGUAAGAGAGGUAGAGUUUUUGGUGGGGGAGUUAGAAGGGGCUUCUUCACUUUGUUGCUUAUUUCCUUUGCUGUGCAGAAGCUUUUUAACUCAAUGCGAUCCCAUUUAUCCUUUUUUCUUUGGCUGCCUAUGCU
rnacentral:lncRNA from 1 species